rnacentral:rRNA from 1 species
UACGUAGGUGGCAAGCGUUGUCCGGAUUUACUGGGCGUAAAGAGCGCGCAGGCGGUCGUUCAAGUCGCGUGUGAAAGCCCCCGGCUCAACUGGGGAGGGUCACGCGAUACUGAUCGACUCGAAGGCAGGAGAGGGUAGUGGAAUUCCCGGUGUAGUGGUGAAAUGCGUAGAUAUCAGGAGGAACACCGGUGGCGAAGGCGGAUUUCUGGACCAGUUCUGACACUGAUGGGCGAAAGCCAGGGGAGCAAACAGG